UACGUAGGGUGCAAGCGUUCCGGAAUUAUUGGGCGUAAAGAGCUCGUAGGCGGUCUGUCGCGUCGGCUGUGAAAACCCGGGGCUCAACCCCGGGCCUGCAGUCGAUACGGGCAGACUAGAGUGUGGUAGGGGAGACUGGAAUUCCUGGUGUAGCGGUGAAAUGCGCAGAUAUCAGGAGGAACACCGGUGGCGAAGGCGGCUCACUGGCUCAUUACUGACGCUCAGGCGCGAUAGCGUGGGGAUCAAACAGG
rnacentral:rRNA from 1 species